UUCCGGUUGAUCCCGCCGGAGGCUACCGCUAUUGGAGUUCGAUUAAGCCAUGCGAGUCCAGAGCUUUCGGAGCUCGGCGUACCGCUCAGUAACACGUGGGUAACCUAACCUAUGCAGGGGAAUAACCUCGGGAAACUGAGAAUAAUGCCCCAUAGUCCACUACGCCUGGAACGGUGAGUGGAUGAAAGCUCAGGCGGCAUAGGAUGGGCCUGCGGCGUAUCAGGUUGUAGGGGGUGUAAAGUACCCUCUAGCCCUCUACGCGUACGGGUGUUGGGAGACAUAGCCCGGAGAUGGAUUCUGAGACACGAAUCCAGACCCUACGGGGUGCAGCAGGCGCGAAAACUUGGCAAUGCGAGCAAUCGUGACCAGGGAACUCCAAGUGGCUGGGGUAAGACCCAGUCUUUUCAGAACUCUUCAAAGGUUUUAGAAUAAGGGGUGGGUAAGGACGGUGCCAGCCGCCGCGGUAAUACCGGCGCCUCAAGUGGUAGUCGCUUUUAUUGGGCCUAAAACGUCCGUAGCCGGUUUGGUACAUUCGUGGGUAAAUCAACUCGCUCAACGAGUUGAAUUCUGCGAGGACGGCCAGACUUGGGACCGGGAGAGGUGUGGGGUACUCUCAGGGUAGGGGUAAAAUCCUGUCAUCCUGAGAGGACCACCUGUUGCGAAGGCGCCACACUAGAACGGAUCCGACGGUCAGGGACGAAGCCUAGGGGCACGAACCGGAUUAGAUACCCGGGUAGUCCUAGGUGUAAACGCUGUGGACUUGAUGUUGGAGGAGCUCCGAGCUCUUUCAGUGUCGAAGCGAAGGUGAUAAGUCCACUGCCUGGGAAGUACGGUCGCAAGGCUGAAACUUAAAGGAAUUGGCGGGGGAGCACCGCAACCUGAGGAUUGUGCGGUUUAAUUGGAUUCAACGCCGG
rnacentral:rRNA from 1 species